UGUAAGUUUUCACUUAUUCCUCUAAAAUCUUUCGCCUUCUUUCCCCUCCACUUGUUCUGCACUUGCCGGUUCCCAAUCCUUCUCCACCUCAAUCGCGCCGCCCUCGCUAUGGCUUCUGCUGCGGAAGAAGACGGCAAGGCGUAUCCCAAGAUGAUCAUGGAGGCGAUCUCGGUGCUCGGCGACGCGGACAGGUCGGCCAUUUCGAAUCAUAUCGAGUCCAACAACGACGACUUGCCGCCGGACCACGCGUCGCUGCUCGAGGCGCACCUCGACCGCCUGAGGGAGAGCGGGGAGCUGCUGCUCGUCGACGAGAAGUACUCGAAGCCAGGGGGAUCGCAGGCGACAGCGAAGCGCGGCCGCGGCAGACCGCCGAAGCCGAAGCCGGAUGUGUUAACCGGUGCGGAGCUCCCUUCGCCGCGGCCGCGGGGGCGGCCGCCGAAGGCCAAGGAUCCGCUUGAGACGGCGGUUGCGAAGGCGGCCGCCGGGUUCCCCCGCUCCCGAGGACGCCCCCCGAAGGCAGAGAAGGCUGCGGGGUCGACACCGAGCGGUGCCGUGGUGGUCGGCGUGAAGAGGGGGCGCGGCCGCCCGCCGAAGGCAAAGCCUGCGCUGGUGGCGGAAGCGGUGUGAGCGGCCAUGGUCGCGCACUGUUGUGGUUUAGUUGUUCCAAGGAUUUGACAUUAGGAUCUUCGUGUAUGGUAGAUCACGAUGAUGAUAAUCUACGUGUAAAAUCUUAAUUUGAUCCCAAGAAGAGAAAAAAAUCUUGCCCGAAUUAUUGUGACGUUGUGCGGCGAUAUAGAUCGACUGUUCGAUUGGUUUACACGUAUCGAAUCAUGCGCCACCAGGAAAUGCCAAAUCUGAGUUCGAUAGGGCAAAGAGCAAGAACGAUAAAAAUGCCAAUGCUAAAUCUAAAGCUUCCCCAAAUGAUAAAUUAUCUGAGAAUGUUAUUUGGGCCCAAUAACAGAUAAUGGCCCAAUUUUUAUUGACGCGGUGAAUCCAGAAGCUUCUUCCAUCGUCCCGCAGCUCUGGAAUCAUCCUCUGUGUUCUUUAUCGGCUCGGAAUCGAAAAUAGAAGAGAGAUCGGAAGAAGCAGAAAUGGCGGAGUUAUCCUUCUUCGGCAACCCCUUCCGGCGCCUGCUGUGGAGUCCUCUGAUCUUGGCUGGAUCGUCUUCCCUUGCCGCCAUGAACUGGCUCGAGACCCCUUCCGCCCACAUAUUCAAGUUCGACCUCCCAGGGUUCGGGAGUGAGGACGUGAAGGUGCAGCUGGAGGAGGGGAACGUGCUCAGCGUCCAGGCGGAGGAGGAGCAAAAGGAGAAGCAGAAGGAAGCGGUGUGGCACGUGACGGAGCGAGGGCGGGGCAGCCUCGCGCGGCGCAUCGCGCUGCCGGAGAACGUGAGGGCGGAGCAGAUCAAGGCGCAGGUGGAGAACGGCGUGCUCACCGUCGUCGUCCCCAAGGAACCCAUCCCACCGAAGCCCAAGCCCAGGACCAUCGCCGUCACCAGCAAACUCUGACGAAUCUUCGAUGCAUCGAUGAAUCCAAAACGAACUAUUGUAAAUCGUACAAAGUUAUUGCUAAAUAAAUGCCACUUUUGUGCAUGAA